AUGGAGCACCAGGGACACGGCACCGGCGAGAAGAAGAGCAUCAUGAGCAAGAUCAAGGAGAAGCUCUCCAGCAGCCACGGUGAUCACCAGCCGGCCGCUGCCACCCACGGGCAGCAGGGACACACCACUGCGGGGACGCAUGGCACCCCGGUCACCGAUGGUGCCUACGGGCAGCACGGACACACCGGAGCCACCGGCACGGGGAUGCACGGCGCCGACACCGGCGAGAAGAAGGGCGUCGUGGAGAACAUCAAUGACAAGCUCCCUGGUGACCAUGAGGACCAUCAGCAGACUGGUGGCACCAACGGUCAACAGGGACAUACUGUCGCGGCGACGCAUGGCGCCUCAGCUACCGGUGGCACCUAUGGCCAGCAGGGAAACACCGGUAUGGGGACACAUGGCACCCCGGCCACCGAUAGUGCCUCCAGGCAGCACAAACACACUGGGUCCACCGGCACGGGGAUGCACGACACCGACAUCAGCGAGAAGAAGGGCGUCAUGGAGAACAUCGAUGACAAACUCCCUGGUGGACAUGGGGACCACCAGCAAACUGCUGGCACCCACGGCCAUCAGGGACACAUCGCUGCGACGACGCAUGGCGCCUCGGCCACCGACGACACGUAUGGGCAACAGGGAAACACCAGCACGGGGACACAUGCCGCGCCGGCCACCGAUGGUGCCUAUGGGCAGCAUGGACACACCGGGGCCACCGGCACGGGGAUGGAUGGCGCCGACAUAGGCGAGAAGAAGGGCGUCAUGGAGAACAUCAAUGACAAGCUCUCUGGUGGCCACGGGGACCACCAGCAGACUGGUGGCACCUACGAGCAGCAGGGACACACCGAUGCGGCGACGCAUGGCGCCUCAGCCACCAGCGGCACCUAUGGGCAGCAGGAAAACACCGGUACGGGGACACAUGGUGCCCCUGCCACCGAUGGCGCCUACGGGCAACACAGACACACCGGGGCCAUCGGGACGGGGUUGCAUGGUGCCGACACGGGCGAGAAGAAGGGCGACAUGGAGAACAUCGAUGACAAACUCCCUGAUGGACAUGGGGACCACCAGCAAACUGCUGGCACCUACGGCCAUCAGGGACACACCGCUGCGGCGACGCAUGGCGCCUCGCCCACCGACGACACGUAUGGGCAGCAGGGAAGCACCAGUACGGGGACACAUGCCGCGCCGGCCACCGAUGGUGCCUAUGGGCAGCACGAACACACCGAGGCCACCGGCACGGGGAUGCACGGCGCCGACAUAGGCGAGAAGAAGGGCGUCAUGGAGAACAUCAAUGACAAGCUCUCUGGUGGCCAUGGGGACCACGAGCAAACUGGUGGCACCUACGGGCAGCAGGGACACACCGAUGCGGCGACGCACGGCGCCUCAACCACCAGCGGCACCUAUGGGCAGCACGAAAACACCGGUACGGGGACACAUGGUGCCCCUGCCACCGAUGGCGCCUAUGGGCAGCAUGGACACACCGGGGCCAUCGGGACGGGGUUGCAUGGCGCCAACACGGGCGAGAAGAAGGGCGUCAAGGAGAACAUCAAUGACAAGCUCCCUGAUGGCCGCGGGGACCACCAGCAGACUGGUGGCACCUACGGGCAACAGGAACACAUCGAUGCGGCGACGCAUGGUGCCUUAGCCACUGGCGGCACCAAUGUGCAGCAAGGAAACACCGGUACGGGGACACAUGGCGCCCCGGCCACCGAUGGUGCCUACGGGCAGCACAAACACACCGGAGCCACUGGCACGAGGAUGCAUGACACCGACACCAGCGAGAAGAAGGGCGUCAUGGAGAACAUCAACGACAAGCUGCCUAGUGGAGACGAAGACCACCAGCACACCGGUGGCACUUACGGUCAGCAGGGACAAACCGGCGCGGUGAUGCAUGGCCAGCAGGGACACACCGAAAUGACCGGCUGGGGGACACACGGCAACACUGAGAAAAAGGGCGUCAUGGACGACAUCAAGCCCAAGCUCCCCGGUGGCCACGAUGAUCGCCAGCAGACCGGCGACACCUAUGAACAGCAGCGACACACCGACACUGCAACACAUGGCACCCUUGCCACCGGUGACACCUAUGGGCAGCAGGGACACACCGACACGGGGACAUAUGGCACCGGCGAGAAGAAGGGCGCCAUGGGUAACAUCAAGGAGAAGCUCCCUGGUGGCCAUGGUGACCACCAACAGACUGGUGGCACCUACGGGAGCCAGGAAGACACCGAAAUGACUGGAAUGGGGAUGCAUAGCACCACAGCCACAGACGACACAGAUGGUCAGCAGGGACACACCCGAAUGACCGGCACAGUGGUACACGACACCGACGAGAGGAAGGGUGUCAUGGAGAACUUCAAGGAGAAGCUCCCCGACAGCCAUGACGACCACCAGCAGACUGCUCGCACCGACGGGCACCACGCCGGCACGGGGACGCAUGACACCCCGGCCACCGACGGCACCUAUGGGCAGCACGGACACACUAGAGUGACUGACACAGAGGCGUACAGCACAGGCGGCACAGGCGAGAAGAAGGGCAUCAUGAAGAACACCAAGGAGAAGCUCCCCGGUGGCCACAAUGACCGCCAGCAGACCGGUGACACCUUUGGGCAGCAAGGACACACCGACACGGCGACACAUGGCACCCCGUCCACUGGCGGCACCUACGGGCAGCACGAACACACCGGAGUGACCGAUAAGGGAACACAGGGCACCGGUGGCAUCGACAAGAAGAAGGAUGCCAUGGAGAACAUCAAGGAGAAGCUCCCCGGUGGUCAUGGUGACCACCAGCAGACCGCUGGCACCUACGGGCAGCAUGGACACACUGGAAUGACCGGCACGGAGACGCAUGGAACCACGGCCACCGACGGCGGGCAGCAAGGACACAACGAAACAACUGGCACUGGGACACACGGCACCGACGGGACCGGUGAGAAGAAGAGCUUCAUGGACAAGAUCAAGGAGAAGCUGCCUGGACUGAACUAA
rnacentral:rRNA from 1 species